AUUGUCCAAAGCUGAAGACAGUUCAGUAAACAUGUCCUUUGCUUGCGAUGCUCUGUUUGGUCCAUAAACAUUACAAAUGAUAGACAUCAAAUCAUCCACCUUCAAAACUACAAUGAUCCAGCAGCCUUUGUUUGAAGCUUUGGUUUCCAGAAUAUCACCAUUAAAUCUGUUUAAAAGUACUGCCACUCCAGCUGAAUAAUUGUAUACAGGCAGUUAUAGUAGCAGUAGCAGCAGUACAUGCAUCUGCUGAUGUGGGAUUAUUUCUGCCUUUUCAGCUUUUUAAAACACAGAAAAUACACAAAGGAUUUAUCAUUUCUUCACUAUGUUGAAGCCUUAGUUUAUACUGUGGUGAAUAUUUGUCUCUGUAAAAUAGUGCUCUGACAGAUGAAAUAUCUCUUGUACCGUGUAGUGUUUGCUUAAAAAGUAGUGUGGUUAAAUGUAACAUUGUCUACAUUUUCUAGCAAUUUUGAUGUUAAAAUUAAUUAAGGUGCCAGUGCUUUAUUCCAUUAUCUUACAAUCAGUUCUAUCAGUCAAUUUGGACAUCAUGAUGACUAUAAUAUCGUUUAAGACAUGUUGCAUGAGGAAAUGUUAACAUACCAUUAAUUACAGUGUCAUAUUAAUUCUCUGUGCUGUGUUAAAGACCAGUUCAGCUACUUUUGCUGCAGACAUGUUGAGAUUCUUCUUCUUUGUGAGAAAACAUGCAGUAGUGCUUUAAUUUAGUAGCCAUUGUCUGGUCUUUAGCCCUUUUGUGUUUUGAAUUAGUUGUUUCAGUUUGAGUCAGCAGUGUAAGUAGAUUUUUCCCUCUGAUGGAAAAACACAUAGUGAGGACAUUAGAUGUGUCUUGUACAUGCAUGUUUUGCUGCUCAUAUUGGUACUUACUGUUUCAUAGCAGUGCUUUCAGAUAACUGGGUUUUUUUUUUCCACCAGCCUUUGGACAGCCUUUUGGAGAGCCUCUGGAUUGCCCUUGGACAUCCUUUGGUCGACCACCUUCGCUGCAUCACUUCGUAUCCUUUCAUCCGUCCAUCCAUCCUUUCAUCCAUCCAUCUGUUUUGUGUGCCUUGUUCUCUCUCUCUGUCUCUCUCUCUCCCUGUGUUUGUCUGUCUCUCUUGUGCUCUUGUGCUGUCUUCCAGGAUGCCUAGGAAGGGGAGACGCUCCCAGGCCCAGAAGCAGCGCUGGAGGAAGCCGGACGCGUCUGAGAUGUCCACCCCUCCUGUCGACGCACCCCACUGCUCCCGCUCUCCCCAGUACAAGAAGGUUGGUUCCACCCUGCCAGCCGGACGGUUCUGGGAAGAGCGGCAGGCGCGUGCAAACCUUAUUGCACGCCGUGGCACCGGUUACCGCCACAAAGCUUUGAAAUGGCCAACUUCACCCUUUACUGGGCGCAACCACAAGUUGGUCAUUCCUCCUGAGCGCCCUGGAAAGAAGUUCAUUCUUAUUGUCGGGGACUCCCAUCUACGUGCUCUUGUAGAUGGCUUUAUUCGGAUGCCAGAGUCUCGGCUGAGCUUUGGCUUCCUGUCGAUCCCGGGGGCGUCUGCUUCUGAAAUUCGCACUGAG